AUUUGAUCAAAUUGCUGCUGCUUAGUGUCAAAUUAUGGUUUAAUUUGAUUAAUUUGCUACUAGUUAUGGAUUUGUUUGAUGAAAUAUGUUUGAAUUUGAUCCUGACCAUCGUGUCGGUUGAUAUGAGGAAUGUGGGCCCGGUCAUCGUGCCGGGUCGUUGAGAAGAGUCCGGCCAUCGUGCCGAGGGGGUAUAUGUGGGUGGGAGUUUUUUUUAUGCGGGCAUAAAAUUCGGGUAGACUCAUUUGUUGUUUUACAGCAAUGGUCAUGCCGAAUUUUUCCAUUUUUUUUAAAUUACUUUUGUAAGUGUUGGAUAGGAACCUCAGGCUCACGUUGAAGAGUUGCCUGAGCAGCCACCGGUUGUGGAGGGAGAAGUCGAAGAAGAAGCGGGGGCAUCUUCCUCGGGCUCGGAAAUUGCCAUGGUCGAAGAAGGAGCCGAGGAGCAGCUGUUCCUUGAAGGAUCUGAGGAGCGGCUGCUCUUUGAAGGAGCAGCUAACGAGGAAGAAGCCCAGGGUGCGACGUCUCAGGCUA
rnacentral:lncRNA from 1 species